rnacentral:sRNA from 1 species
ACUCGCCUGCUUGUCGGCCCAGAACGGGGAGUCGUCCCCCUCGUCGUCGUCGUCCGCGGGGGACCUGGCCCACGCCAAUGGGCUCCUGCCUUCCGCCCCCUCCGCCGCCAGCAACAAUAGCAACAGCCUGAAUGUCAAUAACGGGGUUCCCGGCGGGGCGGCCGCCGCAUCCUCAGCCACCGUCGCAGCUGCCUCCGCCACCACCGCCGCCUCCUCUUCCUUGGCCACCCCAGAACUGGGCAGCAGCCUCAAGAAGAAGAAGCGGCUCUCCCAGUCAGAUGAGGAUGUCAUUAGGCUAAUAGGACAGCACUUGAAUGGCUUAGGGCUCAACCAGACUGUUGAUCUCCUCAUGCAAGAGUCAGGAUGUCGUUUAGAACAUCCUUCUGCUACCAAAUUCCGAAAUCAUGUCAUGGAAGGAGACUGGGAUAAGGCAGAAAAUGACCUGAAUGAACUAAAGCCUUUAGUGCAUUCUCCUCAUGCUAUUGUGAGGAUGAAGUUUUUGCUGCUGCAGCAGAAGUACCUAGAAUACCUGGAGGAUGGCAAGGUCCUGGAGGCACUUCAAGUUCUACGCUGUGAAUUGACGCCGCUGAAAUACAAUACAGAGCGCAUUCAUGUUCUUAGUGGGUAUCUGAUGUGUAGCCAUGCAGAAGACCUACGUGCAAAAGCAGAAUGGGAAGGCAAAGGGACAGCUUCCCGAUCUAAACUAUUGGAUAAACUUCAGACCUAUUUACCACCAUCAGUGAUGCUUCCCCCACGGCGUUUACAGACUCUCCUGCGGCAGGCGGUGGAACUACAAAGGGAUCGGUGCCUAUAUCACAAUACCAAACUUGAUAAUAAUCUAGAUUCUGUGUCUCUGCUUAUAGACCAUGUUUGUAGUAGACUGGUGAAUUGACAAAAUGUAAUUCUAAAUUAUUGAUUGGGAAAAGAAGCAAGGAAGACCGUGUUUCAAGAUACACUUAAAGGUGUAUCCAUUAAUGUUUAAAUAACGUUUUUUUUGGGGGGGGGGGUUUUGUUGUUGUUGUUUGAGACUGUCUCACUCUGUCACCCAGGCUGGAGUGGAGUGGCAUGAUCUUGGCUCACUGCAACCUCCACCUCCCGCAUUCAAGCGAUUCUCCUGCCUCAGCUUCUUGAGUAGCUGAGAGUACAGGCAUGUGUCACCACACCCGACUAAUUUUUGUAUUUUUAGUAGAGAUGAGGUUUCACCAUGUUGGCCAGGCCAGUCUUGAACUCCUGACCUCUGAUCCGUCUGCCUUGGCCUCCCAAAGUGCUGGGAUUACACGUGUGAGCCACCAUGCCCAG